rnacentral:rRNA from 1 species
GGACGAACGCUGGCGGCGUGCCUAAUACAUGCAAGUCGAGCGGACYUGAUGAGGAGCUUGCUCCUCUGAGRGUUAGCGGCGGACGGGUGAGUAAUACGUAGGUAACCUGCCCUUAAGACCGGGAUAACUCACGGAAACGUGGGCUAAUACCGGAUAGGCGAUUUCCUCGCAUGAGGGRAUCGGGAAAGGCGGAGCAAUCUGCCACUUAUGGAUGGACCUACGGCGCAUUAGCUAGUUGGUGGGGUAACGGCUCACCAAGGCGACGAUGCGUAGCCGACCUGAGAGGGUGAUCGGCCACACUGGGACUGAGACACGGCCCAGACUCCUACGGGAGGCAGCAGUAGGGAAUCUUCCGCAAUGGACGCAAGUCUGACGGAGCAACGCCGCGUGAGUGAUGAAGGUUUUCGGAUCGUAAAGCUCUGUUGCCAGGGAAGAACGCUAUGGAGAGUAACUGUUCCAUAGGUGACGGUACCUGAGAAGAAAGCCCCGGCUAACUAC